AAUAAUGAACACUUAUGUGAACAAACAAGUGUUCACAUACCUGGUAGUACGGUAAUUUCCUGGCAUUCGUCUCCACAGCAACACUGAACUGAAAUACAGCUGCCUAGAGUCCCCAGUGUUAUUUCAGGCAAGAAACAGGGAGGGUUGUUCUAUGAAACGCUCCCAUUGAUCGGCAUAAUAUUUGAAGCUUAUUGUAUUGUGAUUCAACCUUCGGUUUCAAUACCUCUAAGGACAAAAUAAAGUUACUAAAAUGCGUGAAAAAUUGCGUCUUCUAGACGAAGAUAGGAUUCCAUUGAAGAUUAAAAUUACUACUAAAAAAGAAGAUCGGGAUCCAAUAAAGAAAAUGAUGAUGAUAAAGAAGGCUAUAGAUAGCAAGCUGCCAGUACUAAACGAUUAUACCAGCAAUAUAUCCGAGUACUCGCUCAAAGUGAUUGAAAAGAACAAAAUGCUUUUAUCAGUUUGCAUAUGUAAUAUGGAAAAUUAGGUUUUGUAAACAAACCUAAUACCUAUUACUUUCAAAACUAUCUUACUGAAGAUCUAUUGUGCUGUAAUAAAUAUUAAUGUUUCAAAAGAAUUAGAUAUUCCAUGGCGUAUUGAACACAAUUGUAAGUAAUUUAUGUUGUUUCAAAAACGACAGUUGAAAGGGUAAUUUAUUGAUCCAAGCGACAUUUUUUUUCACACAUCAUUUAAUAGAAAAAAUAAUCGCUGAUUCUGUUUAUCGUUUACAUAAUACCGAAUAUAACUCAAUAUCGCAAACAAAUGUCGCUUAGAUCAAUUGGCCUUUCAACCGCCGAAUUAUGAUAUUAAUUUACUUGUACUAAAUCAUCCAUUAUCAUAGAAUACUUGAAUUAAUUACGUUUAUUACUUUAAUCAUUUCCUUGUCAAAACUCCUUUCUGUAAAACACUGUACUGCUAUGCUAUUUUGUAACUUUCAAUUCGAAAGAUCGAAGUGAACUCGAUCGCGGUCCGCCAUGUCAAUAGCUGUGAGAAUAAUCUCGACCAAUGACGGGCGAGAAUGCGAUUGAGCUCACUUCGAAAGUUUGAAUUGAUGGUUACAGAAUAGCCUCACUGUUCUUACAUACACAUGUUUACUUAAAUAAAUGUGUAAUCUUAAAUGAAUUGAUGUAAACACUAAUCUGUAUCUCUGGUCAUUUCUUGACUCUCUAUAUUUUUUAUGUUAGAUAAUUUAAGUCAUAUCAACUAUCUAUAUGUACUAUCUACAUAUAUGUAUAAAAUAUGAUGUGUUAUAUCAGUAAAAUAAAAAGCAAUUAACACAUUAAAAUUGCUGUAAUACCUACAAGCCAAAGACUUAAUAUUAAGUUCUUUAAAUUUAAGUUUUAAUAUGUUUGUAUGCAAUGCACAAAUGUUUUAAGAAGAUAAUGUUUUCUGUUUAUAAAUUUAACGACGAUUAAAUGUAGUUGCAGCACAAAUAAA